rnacentral:rRNA from 1 species
GACGAACGCUGGCGGCGUGCUUAACACAUGCAAGUCGAACGGAAAGGCCCUGCUUUUGUGGGGUGCUCGAGUGGCGAACGGGGGAGUAACACGUGAGUAACCUGCCCUUGACUUUGGGAUAACUUCAGGAAACUGGGGCUAAUACCGGAUAGGAGCUCCUGCUGCAUGGUGGGGGGUGGAAAGUUUCGGCGGUUGGGGCUGGACUCGCGGCUUAUCAGCUUGUUGGUGGGGUAGUGGCUUACCAAGGCUUUGACGGGUAGCCGGCCUGAGAGGGUGACCGGCCACAUUGGGACUGCGAUACGGCCCAGACUCCUACGGGAGGCAGCAGUGGGGAAUAUUGCACAAUGGGCGGAAGCCUGAUGCAGCAACGCCGCGUGCGGGAUGACGGCCUUCGGGUUGUAAACCGCUUUCGCCUGUGACGAAGCGUGAGUGACGGUAAUGGGUAAAGAAGCACCGGCUAACUACGUG